UUAUAGGUCCUUUCCAGUUUGUAAUCUGAGCCUAUGAUUCAAGCACCUUCUCUUCCAAGCUCAAAAUAAGUGUAUCCAUAAGAAUAAGAACCUGAGCAAAAGUGCCAAGAGACCCACACAGAUGAGCAAUGAUCUCAUGGAAAAAGCCAAAUGGAAGAAAAGAAGUCUUCAGAAUGUGGGAAAAGGGUCUGGCCACUUGGGAGGAAUAAACAAAUGUUGCAGAGCAUGCAGGGAAGCAACAAGAAAGGCUAAGGCCCACAUGGAAUUAAAUCUUGUGAUCAAGAUCAAGAAGAUCAAGAAUAACAAGAAGGGCUUCUUUAAGUGUAUCAGUGGGAAAAGAAAGACUAGGGAAAAUGUGAGCCUACUGCUGAAUGAGGUGGAUGCCCUGAUAAUAGAGGACACUGAGAAGUUACUGGAGUUACUGAACACCUUCUUUGUUUCAGUCUUUACCCUUAAGACUACACCUUGUGAAUCCCAGACCUUGGAGCUAAGGGAGAGAAUCUGGGGAAAGGAAGUUUUCACCACGGUUGAGAAGAAUGUGGUCAGAGGUCAUCUAGACUAUCUCAGGGCACACAAAUCCAUAGGCCCCAACAGGAUGAGUGCAUGAGUGCAGAGGGAGCUAGCAGAAGUGAUUAGACUACUCUAUAACAUCCUUGAAAGAUUAGGGAGAAUGGGAAAGGUGCCUGAAGAUUUGAGGAUGGCCAGUGUCACUCCAAUCUUCAAAAAGAACGAGAAUGAGCUUGGAAACUACAGGCCAGUCAGCUUCACCUCCCUCCCUGGGGAGGUGGUGUAAUGACUUAAUCUGGAUGUCAUCUCCAAAUGAAACUGCCUGAUGAUCAAUAAGGACACUUCAUGUGUGUGUAAAAGGAGAAGACUGGCAUGAACCCUGCAGAACUCGCUCGGCAACAGCUUCAUGCAGUGUAGAACAGAACAUCAAUGAGCAGCAGCCAAAUUAAUCUACAAACAACAGCAGUGAUGACAACAGCCCUUGAAGAAGCUACUUGAAGGAUUUGUUUGCAUGGAUAAAUCAGUGUUUCUUCCAUGUCUUCACCACUCCUUACUUAAGUUGGUCUGGCUGACUACCUUUGAGUGAGUACCAACAGUAAUUCAGAGUGAGACAGUUUUAAUGUAUUUCUUCAGUGAGAUGAAAAACACAAACCACCAGACCAUGGAUACAGUUACAUGUGUAGAAAAAUCAUCUAUCUGAACAGUUUGUCUGUGGGGAAAGAAGAAUAUAUGUAGAGGUUGUUUGUCUUUGCAAAUUGUUUGGUGGAUUGUGCUGAAGUGAAUACAUUAGUAGAU
ensembl:lncRNA